AAAAUAUCAAACCGACAAGGUUAACCACCAACAGGAUCUUCACUCAAAAAGCAAAUUCAGUUAUGAUUCUUGAUCAUCAGCUACUUCGUACCAUUCUACAUCUUCUGAACCAAUCUACAUUUGUUAAGGUAGGAGGAGAAAUCCAGAAACCAAAAAACAAAACAAGAUGCGUGACAUUAAAAUAUUCAUAUAUUGUCAAUUACUGAGCUGCAAGUUGCAGGGUGUUUGUGCCUAUUCCAACAUCAUAUUAGUGGUUUGGUGCUUCUCUGUGCAAGACUGGUUUAUAGGUUCAAGACUUAUGUGAUUGUUCUAUGUAAAAGUUUAUGAAAGAGUGGACUUCGUGUUGAGAAUGUCUCCAUUGUGAAUGUAUUGCUUUUUGGUCUCAGUUUGCAUCACUUCAUACUAGAUGGUCUUUAUUUUUCUUGUGAACCAUUUAAAGCUCUCAAAUUAUUUGUUGCUGCUACACUACAAAAGAGUUCUUGGUACAGUUCAAGCUUGUCCUUCAACCAUAGAAAAUGUUAUGGAAUAGAUGUUUUUGAAACAGUCCCACCAUUGUUAUGUGUUCUGGAUAUUGUGAUUCACUUGUGCCACCAAGGAUUGAAUAUAACAGCUAUGAUAUGGUAGAUUGGGCUGAUACGUUUCUGAUUUCAUCUGAGGCUACUCAUUUGGUUCCUACCUCUCUUUGAUUUUCAUGAUGUCUGUUGCUGCAUUUUAUGUCACUUUUGGAGGUUCAAAAAUGGAUACAGGUUUUAGUCUAAUUGGAAGGUCACUUGCUACAGAAUAUGGAAGGUGUUAUGAGGCUAGUUGCGCAGAUUUUAUGUUACUUGCUUGGGGUCUAUGGUUUACAUGACUGUAUUACAAGCCAAUAUUCAAUGCUUUGUUUGUCUUUAGUUUUGUAAUUCAAACUCAAAUUGGUGAAUUUCCCGAUGUUGAGUUUGAGGGAGACUGUUAAGAAUAUUGAUUGUUAGCCAAAGCUCCCUUUAGUUAGUUACAUUUACCAUUAGGUGAUUAGUUUGUUAGAGUUGAUUAAUAGUUGGUUAAUCUCCAAAUAGCUCUAUAUAAGAGCUACUAUUGUACCAAACUCAUUAUCUUUUAUCAAAAUGAAAUCUUACAAUUUCUAUUCUCUCUCAAGCUUUCUAAGCUCUUAUCGUAAUGGUUGAUGAGGUUUGCAAAUUCAUACCUUUGGAAGCAUGCUUGUGUGUUUUGUUGGAAUCAUGGUUAGUUGUUAUUGCUGCCUCAAUUGUGAGUUUAAAUGAAUGCUCAAAAUCAAUGAAUUGGUGUAGACUUUGUUGCAAAUGAAGUAAAAUCACAGUUUCUUGUGGAUUUCCAUUUCAUAGUUGAUCCUUUAUCCACUAUGUUCUACUGCAACAAUAUCCUGUAUGCUAUUUGUGGCUUCUGGUACUACUACCCUUGCUAGAAUAAUAUCAUUGCUAGAAUUAAUUGGUACUUCACACUAUUGUCAAUUACUGAGCUGCAAGUUGCAGGGUGUUUGUGCCUAUUCCAACAUCAUAUUAGUGGUUUGGUGCUUCUCUGUGCAAGACUGGUUUAUAGGUUCAAGACUUAUGUGAUUGUUCUAUGUAAAAGUUUAUGAAAGAGUGGACUUCGUGUUGAGAAUGUCUCCAUUGUGAAUGUAUUGCUUUUUGGUCUCAGUUUGCAUCACUUCAUACUAGAUGGUCUUUAUUUUUCUUGUGAACCAUUUAAAGCUCUCAAAUUAUUUGUUGCUGCUACACUACAGAAGAGUUCUUGGUACAGUUCAAGCUUGUCCUUCAACCAUAGAAAAUGUUAUGGAAUAGAUGUUUUUGAAACAGUCCCACCAUUGUUAUGUGUUCUGGAUAUUGUGAUUCACUUGUGCCACCAAGGAUUGAAUAUAACAGCUAUGAUAUGGUAGAUUGGGCUGAUACGUUUCUGAUUUCAUCUGAGGCUACUCAUUUGGUUCCUACCUCUCUUUGAUUUUCAUGAUGUCUGUUGCUGCAUUUUAUGUCACUUUUGGAGGUUCAAAAAUGGAUACAGGUUUUAGUCUAAUUGGAAGGUCACUUGCUACAGAAUAUGGAAGGUGUUAUGAGGCUAGUUGCGCAGAUUUUAUGUUACUUGCUUGGGGUCUAUGGUUUACAUGACUGUAUUACAAGCCAAUAUUCAAUGCUUUGUUUGUCUUUAGUUUUGUAAUUCAAACUCAAAUUGGUGAAUUUCCCGAUGUUGAGUUUGAGGGAGACUGUUAAGAAUAUUGAUUGUUAGCCAAAGCUCCCUUUAGUUAGUUACAUUUACCAUUAGGUGAUUAGUUUGUUAGAGUUGAUUAAUAGUUGGUUAAUCUCCAAAUAGCUCUAUAUAAGAGCUACUAUUGUACCAAACUCAUUAUCUUUUAUCAAAAUGAAAUCUUACAAUUUC